AUUUACUGAUGUAUUUCAGCUGCUCGUUUAACCAUUAAACUACAGGCAAGCUGUUUCCAGAAAGUUUUCACUACACUACAGGAUCCUCGCUAAAGUCUGUUGAAGCUACUUAAGGGAACCUCGUACUUGUUGGACCAGGGUGACCCGAAAACACUCACAGCAAUGAUCUUCACUUCGAUCAGAUGAUGCAGAGGUUUGGAUCACCCAUCAUCAUCCUCAACCUCGUCAAGAUGGAUGUUACCGAGGUGUUUAGCACGGGCCAUUCGCUGGAGGACACCGCGACAUCGUCUGGAGUUAUUUGAGUCAUUUAUCCAAAAAUUUACACACACUGGUGACCUUCCUGCUGUUACUGUAUGAUGAAUGUGAUCGCUUUACACAUCCAUCAGGACAGAUGCGAGACAUGUGAGCUUACAUAUUAACCACAAACGCUGAGCUGAAGCAGCCGUUAUAUCAGUCAGUCCUGAUGCAGAGGAGCUUCCUGAGAGAUGGAGCGGAAACUGAUCCACAUCCAGCUCACGUUAAACACACCGGAGACUCUCACUAUAACUGUUCAUUUAUU